GAAGUGCGAUAAGCAAUGCGAAUUGCAGAAUUCCGCGAAUCAUCAGAUCUUUGAACGCAAAUGGCGCCAGAGGGAUAUCCUUCCGGCAUGUCUCUUUCAGUGUCUGAGAGGUUUCACCACUAUCUUAAUGUGAUUGAUGAAUGGGUUGCUCCUAGAGUAGUCUAACCUCAUCUCUCAUGAAAGAUGCUCGAGUGGAUCUUUUGGUCCAAUGAAGUGGUCACAUCACUCGCAUGUGAUUUCAUUGGGAUCACCAAAUUAUCCGCAUGCUCGAGGUACACUCUCUUUUUGGGUAACACCAAAAAGACACUCCACACCCUGCAUCUGAGACAGGCAAGAACACCCGCUGAACUUAA
rnacentral:misc_RNA from 1 species